GGUUAAUUUCUUGCACGAUAUUUUAAAAAAUCGCAAAAAUUAAUAAUAUUUAUUUCGAGUAAUUUAAAAUUUAGUGUGAUUUACGUUUCAGAACAAGGUAGAUUUUAUCAUAAAAAUCAUUGCAUGUGGGUUUUCUAUAUUUUCUUUUUUCUUCACCUUCCCUGCCCACUUGAUCUUGAAAAAGGUGUUUUAGAAAUGAAGAGAGAUGAAAGGAUUGAUGAAUGCAAGGAGAAAAAGUGCAAAAGUUGAAUAAAUCAUUGGGAAAAAUUUCAUAUACAAGUUCGGGACCACGAUCAUGUUUGUCGAGAGAUCACGUUUAAAGAGUGGGUCGUGAGACGAUUUGCAAUCGGUCGGUUUAAAGGCCGUUGGAAUAAAAUCAGAAACUUGCGCCAUGUAAACUUGACCCAAAGAUUCAAUCUCAUAUACUUUACUAAACGAAACCCGUUUCAAAAGAUCCCAUCGCGAGUCCACCGAAGCGCAAAACGAUGACUAGCAUUGUACCUCGUCUCCUCGAGCAUUGUUUUAUUUUUUUCAACGCUAUACACUUCCUGCAUCAAGACAACAUCUCAAACUAAACUUCCUCCCAUAAAACAGAACAAGAUAAACCAUAGGAACAAGAAUUAAAAUACAGAAUAAAGAUUAUGUGUAAAAUUAUCUAUUUUGACAAAAUCGAAGAAAUGAAUUUCAAAAUAUUGAUAAUUUUGAUAAAAUUCGACAAAUGUUGAUGUCUGACGUUAUGAACCGUAAAAAAAUUUUGAAAUUUAAAAAUAUUAAGUAAUCAAACAAAAUUAUGUGUAAAAUUAUCAAUUUUCACACAAUCGGAGAAUUGAAUUUUAAAAUAUUGAUAAUUUUGAAAAAAUUUCCAAAUUGUCAAAUAAAAGAGAAAGGAAGAAACUGAAACGAUAAUAAAUAAAGAAAGAAUAUGGAAAAAUGAUAUUGCACUUUAUAUUCCAGAGGGAUCGUCAUGAGAUUCAAUAAAUUGCAAAAGAUGAUGGGAACUUAGAUGUUGAAAGACUCACAGGUGAGAAAUGCCCUGAGAAAUGGACUAUACGAACUAUUAUUCUAUGAUUUGAAGAGAAUGAAAUAAUUUUUCAUUCAUUGAUAAAUAGUGAAAUCCAACAAACCGGAAUACGAAUAAUGGAAAUAAAUAUAAUUACUGUAUUAAUUGCUCAUUAUAAAAUCUUCAAAUGAAAAUUCAUUAACAAUAUUUUUCACUGAAAGAAAUUACCAAAUUUUACUAUUUGUUUAUAUUAUUUAUUAUUAUUUUUUAUAUAAAAAUUUCAUCUAUAAAUUAAAUAAAAAUUUAAUUUUUUUUUUAAAUGGUAAAAUAUUUUUUACAAAAAUUAUUAUUUUUAUUACAUAUUUUUAUUUUCAUUUUCAUUAAAUAUUGUCUAAUUAAAAAAAACUGUUUUAUUUAAUAAAAAAAAAGGAAUCAAUAAUUCUUUCCGUUGAAAAAUAUUGAAAAUUAAUUUUUUUUCAAAAUCAUGUUCUAUAAAGGAGAAAAAAUUGAUUUGUUUCGUGAUUUUGAAAAUUAUAUAGUUCGAAAAGCUAUGCGAGUUUAAGAAAAUUAUUAGUCUCUUUUACACGACGCAAUUCCGCCACGAGUCAUUCAAUGUUUAUUGCGUAAUUUCAACGUGUAAUUGACUCUUAUUCGUGAGAGUUACGCAUCGAUAUAUAGUGGAAACUCUUGAUAUAAACUCUUUUGAAAUAUAAUCCCACGAGAUUUUUCACACGUCCUAAUACUAUUUACUAAUUUAAUUCCAAUUUAAAUUACAUUAACAAAAGAUUUCUCUAUUUUUACAGUAUAGACUUAAAAGAAAUUAUAAAAAAUUAUUAAUUAUAUAUACAAUUAAUUAGUAUUAUCAUCUAAUAGAAUAUUAGUGUGUAUACUAGUAUUAAUUAAAAGCAACUAAUGAGA